rnacentral:rRNA from 1 species
AGUGAACGCUGGCGGUAGGCCUAACACAUGCAAGUCGAACGGCAGCACAGUAAGAGCUUGCUCUUACGGGUGGCGAGUGGCGGACGGGUGAGGCAUACAUCGGAAUCUACUUUUUCGUGGGGGAUAACGUAGGGAAACUUACGCUAAUACCGCAUACGACCUACGGGUGAAAGCAGGGGAUCUUCGGACCUUUCGCGAUUGAAUGAGCCGAGGUCGGAUUAGCUAGUUGGCGGGGUAAAGGCCCACCAAGGCGACGAUCCGUAGCUGGUCUGAGAGGAUGAUCAGCCACACUGGAACUGAGACACGGUCCAGACUCCUACGGGAGGCAGCAGUGGGGAAUAUUGGACAAUGGGCGCAAGCCUGAUCCAGCCAUACCGCGUGGGUGAAGAAGGCCUUCGGGUUGUAAAGCCCUUUUGUUGGGAAAGAAAAGCAGCAGGUUAAUACCCCGCUGUUCUGACGGUACCCAAAGAAUAAGCACCGGCUAACUUCGUG